CCUACGGGUGGCAGCAGUGAGGAAUAUUGGUCAAUGGACGAGAGUCUGAACCAGCCAAGUAGCGUGAAGGAUGACUGCCCUAUGGGUUGUAAACUUCUUUUAUAUGGGAAUAAAACGUUCCACGUGUGGGAUUUUGUAUGUACCAUAUGAAUAAGGAUCGGCUAACUCCGUGCCAGCAGCCGCGGUAAUACGGAGGAUCCGAGCGUUAUCCGGAUUUAUUGGGUUUAAAGGGAGCGUAGGUGGAUUGUUAAGUCAGUUGUGAAAGUUUGCGGCUCAACCGUAAAAUUGCAGUUGAAACUGGCAGUCUUGAGUACAGUAGAGGUGGGCGGAAUUCGUGGUGUAGCGGUGAAAUGCUUAGAUAUCACGAAGAACUCCGAUUUCGAAGGCAGUUCACUGGACUGCAACUGACACUGAGGCUCGAAAGUGUGGGUAUCAAACAGGAUUAGAUACCCUUGUAGUC
rnacentral:rRNA from 1 species